UUAAAUUAAACCCAUAUGAAGUGACUCUUUCAUCUCCCACAUUCCCUUUGUUGACCUCUCUAAUGUUAAACAUGAAGCCCUCGUUCUCCUUCCCAUCUUCUCACAUCGGCAACCUUAUGAAAGCUCUUUAUCAAACCACAUCAUCAUCAAAGAAAAGAAACAUAAAGGUUAAUUUCCUUUGCGAUUUUGUUUGAUUCCUCUCAAUUGUGGACUGUGGUAGUCAUGAAUCUAAUUUUGUUUUGGUUUGGGUCUUGUCGAAGCUGAGAGAUGGGUGGUGGUUCAUGGUAGGUGGAUGAUGGAAAGGGCAAUUCUUCAAUAACAAGAACAUGAAUUCUAACUUUCUUUAAGAACGAGUACAUGAAGAAAUGGAAAUUGAAAUCAUUGGUACAUCACCUUUGUCCAGAAUUUUAAUUUUUACAGUCUUCUGUUUUUUCAAUUGAUUUUUUUACAUCUACUCUUCAGUUUUUUCUAUUGGGUUUAUUUUUUUAAUCGGUGGCUCUCAGAUUUGUAAUUGAAUCCUUGAAUAGGUCUAACAUUCCUAAGUUUGAUCUUAUGGGUCUGAAUGGGUUUGAUUCCCGAGUAGUGGAUUUGAUUUUGUGAUUUAUAAGUUUAAUUCAUAUUACCGUUUAGUGGCUUGUU